ACCUUCGUGGUGUAGUGGGCAGCACACUCGACACGUAACCGAGAGGUCAGUGGUUCGAUUCUCGGCGAAGGCG
rfam:Stegodyphus mimosarum contig39149, whole genome shotgun sequence.